GAUGAAGAACGUAGCGAAAUGCGAUAAGUAGUGUGAAUUGCAGAAUUCAGUGAAUCAUCGAAUCUUUGAACGCACAUUGCGCCCUUUGGUAUUCCGAAGGGCAUGCCUGUUCGAGCGUCAUUAUCACCCCUCAAGCCCCGGCUUGGUGUUGGGCUCUCGGUGGUCGUCUCCGACCACCCGUCUCAAAGAUAGUGACGGCGUCCCAGAGGGAACCGGUACGAGGAGCUUUCACGAGCAUGUACGCGGGACGACUCUGCGGGCGACGGUCUUAUUUACUUUAUAUACAAGUGUUGACCUCGGAUCAGGUAGGAAUACCCGCUGAACUUAAGCAUAUCAAUAAGCGGAGGA
rnacentral:misc_RNA from 1 species